GACGUAGGAUGCGAGCGUUGUCCGGAUUUAUUGGGCGUAAAGAGUUCGUAGGUGGUUUGUUAAGUCUGAUGUUAAAGACUGAGGCUCAACCUCGGAAAUGCAUUGGAUACUGGCAGACUUGAGUGCAGUAGAGGCAAGCGGAAUUCCAGGUGUAGCGGUGAAAUGCGUAGAGAUCCGGAAGAACACCGGUGGCGAAGGCGGCUCGCUGGGCAGUAGCUGACGCUGAGGCGCGACAGCGUGGGGAGCAAACAGGAUUAGAUACCCGAGUAGU
rnacentral:rRNA from 1 species